CGUGAUGACGUAGUGCCGCUAAGCUUUUCUCACCCUGCCCGCUAGUAGAUCUGUCACAUUCUUUGGUUUAUCGCCGCCUCGGACACACCUCAUUUAGAACAGCCAUGUCUGACUUCUCAGAAGACCAAGUCGCCGGUGAGUUUUGAGUUUGCGUUUGGCAUUUUCCCAGUCCCACAUGUUUUCCAUGCUUUCAUUCUUGGUUUAGAUGACACUUUGUCCACUAUCAUCCUGCUGUAUGCCCGCUUGUCAGAGGUGUCGUGAUUAUAGCCUAGGGCUUCCUUUUAUUUCUGUACUGUUUCACCACUUUCCACUUGCAAUUGCUUGUCCUUUCCAGAUUGAAUUUAACCUGGAUCAGAUUCAUGGUAAGUCAGUCAAAAAAGGACGGCUUUGGCACAAAACUGAUGGCUAUCUCGGAGUGUUUAGGGUGUGAUUUGCAUGUUGGUUUUGGAUAAGCUAAAUUUGUUUUAAAUGUGAAUUAAUUUUGUUUGACACUGUUUUUGGUACGUCAGAGUUGGUCACAUUUAGCAUAUAAUGUUAUCUUUGCCGGCUUUGACUGUAUUGCAUUGUUAUUGUAUGUGUUCAGUUGUGCAUUAGCAGUACUGUAAAGCUAAACAUAGCCAUCUGCUCUCAUAAGUCUUGUCCUGUUGGAUUGUAGUCGUCUCCAGUUAUGUCAUUUUGCCUUAAACUUAGCUAUAUUCCGAGCAGCUCAUCUCUAUGAAUGUGUCCUUUUUUGGUGCUGGAUACAGUGGUGGAUGGUUCUUGUCCUAGAGCUGUUUUGUUUAAUCAUCCCUGACAUAACAGUCUGUAGCUAAUCUCAUUCUCCUCCCACUUUCCUCCACUCCUCUAAUA